rfam:Bacillus subterraneus strain MITOT1 contig_105, whole genome shotgun sequence.
GCGAGCCGUAUACGCUGAAAGGUGUACGUACGGUUCUGAGGGGGGGAGUGUGAAAUCUGCUUGCGUGACCAAGUAAGGCGCAUGCUCUCUACCCUAC